rnacentral:tRNA from 1 species
CCGUGCGUAGCUCAAUUGGCAGAGCAGCGGCCUCUUAAGCCGUUGGUUGGAGGUUCGAGUCCUCCCGCGCGGACAA